UACGUAGGGGGCUAGCGUUGUCCGGAAUCAUUGGGCGUAAAGGGCGCGUAGGCGGCCUUCUAAGUCAGACGUGAAAUCCCCCGGCUUAACCUGGGAACUGCGUCUGAUACUGGAGGGCUUGAGUGCGGGAGAGGGAUGUGGAAUUCCAGGUGUAGCGGUGAAAUGCGUAGAUAUCUGGAGGAACACCGGUGGUGAAGGCGGCAUCCUGGACCGACAUUGACGCUGAACGGCGAAAGCUAGGGGAGCAAACGGG
rnacentral:rRNA from 1 species